GGCAGGGGGGAGCUAUAAUGCAGUCGACGCUUCUUUUUCCACCGGAGCUUGCUCCACCGGAAAAAGAGGAGUGGCGAACGGGUGAGUAACACGUGGGUAACCUGCCCAUCAGAAGGGGAUAACACUUGGAAACAGGUGCUAAUACCGUAUAACAAUCGAAACCGCAUGGUUUUGAUUUGAAAGGCGCUUUCGGGUGUCGCUGAUGGAUGGACCCGCGGUGCAUUAGCUAGUUGGUGAGGUAACGGCUCACCAAGGCGACGAUGCAUAGCCGACCUGAGAGGGUGAUCGGCCACAUUGGGACUGAGACACGGCCCAAACUCCUACGGGAGGCAGCAGUAGGGAAUCUUCGGCAAUGGACGAAAGUCUGACCGAGCAACGCCGCGUGAGUGAAGAAGGUUUUCGGAUCGUAAAACCUCUGUUGUUUAGAGAAGAACAAGGAUGAGAGUAACUGUUCAUCCCUUGACGGUAUCUAACCAGAAAGCCACGGCUAACUACGUGCCAGCAGCCGCGGUAAUACGUAGGUGGCAAGCGUUGUCCGGAUUUAUUGGGCGUAAAGCGAGCGCAGGCGGUUUCUUAAGUCUGAUGUGAAAGCCCCCGGCUCAACCGGGGAGGGUCAUUGGAAACUGGGAGACUUGAGUGCAGAAGAGGAGAGUGGAAUUCCAUGUGUAGCGGUGAAAUGCGUAGAUAUAUGGAGGAACACCAGUGGCGAAGGCGGCUCUCUGGUCUGUAACUGACGCUGAGGCUCGAAAGCGUGGGGAGCAAACAGGAUUAGAUACCCUGGUAGUCCACGCCGUAAACGAUGAGUGCUAAGUGUUGGAGGGUUUCCGCCCUUCAGUGCUGCAGCUAACGCAUUAAGCACUCCGCCUGGGGAGUACGACCGCAAGGUUGAAACUCAAAGGAAUUGACGGGGCCCGCACAAGCGGUGGAGCAUGUGGUUUAAUUCGAAGCAACGCGAAGAACCUUACCAGGUCUUGACAUCCUUUGACCACUCUAGAGAUAGAGCUUCCCCUUCGGGGGCAAAGUGACAGGUGGGUGCAUGGGUUGUCGUCAGCUCGUGUCGUGAGAUGUUGGGUUAAGUCCCGCAACGAGCGCAACCCUUAUUGUUAGUUGCCAUCAUUUAGUUGGGCACUCUAGCAAGACUGCCGGUGACAAACCGGAGGAAGGUGGGGAUGACGUCAAAUCAUCAUGCCCCUUAUGACCUGGGCUACACACGUGCUACAAUGGGAAGUACAACGAGUCGCAAAGUCGCGAGGCUAAGCUAAUCUCUUAAAGCUUCUCUCAGUUCGGAUUGUAGGCUGCAACUCGCCUACAUGAAGCCGGAAUCGCUAGUAAUCGCGGAUCAGCACGCCGCGGUGAAUACGUUCCCGGGCCUUGUACACACCGCCCGUCACACCACGAGAGUUUGUAACACCCGAAGUCGGUGAGGUAACCUUUGGAGCCAGCCGCCUAAGUGAAUGAGU
rnacentral:rRNA from 1 species